UACGGAGGGUGCAAACGUUGCUCGGAAUCAUUGGGCGUAAAGCGCACGUAGGCGGCGAAGCAAGUUGGGUGUGAAAGCCCUGGGCUCAACCCAGGAAGUGCAUUCAAAACUGCUUCGCUUGAAUCUCGGAGGGGGUCAGAGAAUUCCCGGUGUAGAGGUGAAAUUCGUAGAUAUCGGGAGGAAUACCAGUGGCGAAGGCGCUGACCUGGACGAAGAUUGACGCUGAGGUGCGAAAGCGCGGGGAGCAAACAGGAUUAGAAACCCCUGUAGUCC
rnacentral:rRNA from 1 species